GUAGGGGGCGAGCGUUAUCCGGAUUCACUGGGCGUAAAGGGCGCGCAGGCGGCUAUGUAAGUCCGGCGUGAAAUCCCAUGGCUCAACUGUGGAACUGCGUCGGAUACUGCAUUGGCUUGAGGAUGGUAGAGGCUUCUGGAACUAGCGGUGUAGCGGUGAAAUGCGCAGAUAUCGCUAGGAACGCCGGUGGCGAAGGCGGGAGGCUGGGCCAUUCCUGACGCUGAGGCGCGAAAGCUAGGGGAGCGAACCGGAUUAGAUACCCGGGUAGUCCUAGCCGUAAACGGUGGGUGCUAGGUGUGGGGAUCGCGAGAUUUCCGUGCCGCAGCUAACGCAUUAAGCACCCCACCUGGGGAGUACGGCCGCAAGGCUA
rnacentral:rRNA from 1 species